rnacentral:rRNA from 1 species
UACGUAGGGCGCAAGCGUUAUCCGGAAUUAUUGGGCGUAAAGAGCUCGUAGGCGGUUUGUCGCGUCUGCCGUGAAAGUCCGGGGCUCAACUCCGGAUCUGCGGUGGGUACGGGCAGACUAGAGUGAUGUAGGGGAGACUGGAAUUCCUGGUGUAGCGGUGAAAUGCGCAGAUAUCAGGAGGAACACCGAUGGCGAAGGCAGGUCUCUGGGCAUUAACUGACGCUGAGGAGCGAAAGCAUGGGGGAGCGAACGG